rnacentral:rRNA from 1 species
UGAGCCAAGUUUAGGGUUUUCUCAAAACCCAAGCAGUAUUGAACUGAAGAGUUUGAUCAUGGCUCAGAUUGAACGCUGGCGGCAGGCCUAACACAUGCAAGUCGAGCGGAUGAAGGGAGMUUGCUCCUGGAUUCAGCGGCGGACGGGUGAGUAAUGCCUAGGAAUCUGCCUGGUAGU